rnacentral:lncRNA from 1 species
AGGAGGAGCUCCAAAGCCAAACCUUACCUGCAGGCAGGGUUAAGGGUUUUUCCUUCAUGAAAAUUCAGAGAGCCCCAAGGCAGUGAGAUUUUCCCGUGGCCUUCCUUGUUUCAUGUGGAACUUGGCCACAGCCAGCCCUCCCUUCUCACGCCACACACGGACAGAGGAGCCAGCUCCCCACAGCCCAGCCUGACCUUCAGGAACACCUUUGUGCUGAACAUGCCCAGGGGAUGAGCCCUGUCUGGGGGUCACCCAGCGCUGGGGUUGUGCCAAGUGCACUCCCUGGCCUGGGUUUGGCCUGUGACAACUCGCUCCCGGGUUGUGGUCAGGCGUGGGUGAGGCUGUUCUGGUGGAGGGGUGAAGAGGUCUCAGCUGUAGGACACUGGCUGGGUCAUGCUGCUUUCCCUCAGUGCUGGCCUGCUGUAAUUACUGGGGCUGUACCCUCAGGUCGGGGCACAGGUUGUUUAAAAUGUCCAACAGGAUAAUUAGUGCAGGUUUUCAGAAGUACUGAGUGCUCAUGAAUGCAGAGAACAGCAGAAUGGGUAAGGCUGGGAGGGACCACGGUGGGACAUCUCCCAAGUGCACCCUGGAGUCACAGAGCUGGUUGAAGGGCUGCCUUCACCUGCUCAAUCCCUCUUUGUGAUGAAGCAAUGGCAGGGUGCUUGGCAACAUCAGGAACCAGCUCUGUCAGCAGUGACCAUCUCCUCAGAGCACAACACAUCCACAAAAACCCCACAGCAACGCACGAGGCAGCUGGGAAAGCAGGGACAGCUUGUUGUGAAAAGCCUUUUUGGGUGUCACUCAGCCCCAGCAGCAACAGGCACAGAUAAACCAGCAGAGCCCAUGCUGUCCCUUGUCAGCCCAGCUGAUCCCAGUGGGAAGUUUGCAGUUCCAACAUCCUCUUUUUGGGUUCUUAGACAGCCUUGGUCCUGCAAACCAUCAGCACCAAUUUCUUGA